AACGAACGCUGGCGGCAGGCCUAACACAUGCAAGUCGAACGCCGUAGCAAUACGGAGUGGCAGACGGGUGAGUAACACGUGGGAACGUACCCUUCGGUUCGGGAUAACUCAGGGAAACUUGAGCUAAUACCGGAUACGUCCGAGAGGAGAAAGAUUUAUUGCCGAGGGAUCGGCCCGCGUCUGAUUAGCUUGUUGGUGAGGUAACGGCUCACCAAGGCGACGAUCAGUAGCUGGUCGAGAGGAUGAUCAGCCACAUUGGGACUGAGACACGGCCCAAACUCCUACGGGAGGCAG
rnacentral:rRNA from 1 species